rnacentral:lncRNA from 1 species
UGGGUUUUAGGAGACAGUUAGAGAGCGAAGGAACUCGUGCAAAUAUUCAGCAAUGCCUCUGCCAUAUGAUGGCAGCCUACUGGCACUAGCAAGUCUUUAACACCACUUCUAUUUAUAUCUCGAUGGUCUGUUACCUAAGGAAAAAUAGUAAUAAUGAAAAGGGCACGAAGGAUAUGAUUGAGGUUACAGUUUCUCCCAAAAAAAGGAAUUUCUCAAAAAGAAAAGAUUGAGGUUGCACUAAGCAGUUCAGGCAAUCUAGGGCUGGAUGUAAGGACUAUGGAUCUGCCAUAUAUGUGCAAGAGAUGAAGAAAGAAUGUAAUGAACAUGGGUGGCUGUAGUUGCUGAUUGUAUAAUUGAGAGAGAAAAAAAUUGAUUAAGAAACCUCUUCCCGCUGCUCCUUCCCUUUAUAAAGAGCAGUAAAGGCCAAAAUCAAUAGGAAAAAUGGUAUAAUUUUGUGAUUUCAACUUUUAUAUAUAUAUUAACUUUCUGAUGUCAGAUCUUUUGUCGAAUUAGCAAAGGGUGACUGUGUCUGACGCAAACUGCUCUCUAUACAAAAAAAUAAAUACUAAUUAAUAGUUUAUCCAGAUAUAUAAUUAAAAAUACACCUCCUAACAUGUCGUGGUAGUGAAGGUUUGGCGGUAGCAGUUGGAGAGUAAUUUGGUUAGUUGUAACUUGAACAGAAAGAGUAUUUGUCUUAUUCUCUGAAGUUCUCAGACUUAAGUUCUUUGGUACUUUACAUGAAUGUGUGCAUUUAGCAUGUCUUGGGUACAGAUUUGCGUACCUUUUGCCCAUUUCUCCUCUCCUUUUUUCCAUAUGUUGCUCGAACUCUUCAAGAAUGUCAGUGGGUGUGUGUCAGAUCCUUCAAAAGUAAUGCAUUUUUUGAAGGAUCCAACAUGGGUGCAGAAUCAUUUUUGGAGAAUCCGAGCAACCGCCUCGCCCAUCUUAUCAAACAGGACAAGGAAAUAUCCUUCAUACUAAUGGGAGGCUGUGUAUAUCUUUUCCAAACAUUUGGUGCUGAAAUCUGAUAUAGCCACGUAAUUGAAUUGUGCUUUUGAAGAUUGAUGUCUUUCUGGUUCACUCAUCAAUAGAAUUGAGCAAAAUAGACCAUGAUUUUGUGUUCUCCUAAACCAGGGGAGGCACUGUGGUUUCUGACUGGGUUCUUUUCCAAAUUUGCACAUUUACUACUGAAGUAGAGACGAACCGAUGUAUAAUGUAUCAAACUAUUUUAAUUUGAACAUUUAGUGUAUAUAUCCGAAUAUGCAAUGUCUUUUUAGUUCAUAAUGUCACAAAUGCCACCGUCCUAAACUUAAGGUAAGCAAAUAAAAAAGACUUGAUCACUUUCCUGGAUAAAUCAAAUAAUGGUGAUAUGCUGUACAAAAAUUAAUUUAACCACUUCGGUAAGGGGAUAAAAAAUACCCCAUGCACCAUAUAUACUUGUAACAGUAUCUGGAUAGUAUGCUUUCACUCGGUACCUUUCAUUUUUUAGUAAGAAGUAAACAGUUAAAUUAAUAACGAAAAAUCUCCAGUAUACGAGCAAGUUACCUAAGGAUAUAGAAUCUACCACAUAAAUUGAUUAUCUAUCAGCACACACAAUCUUCUAAACAAACUAAUACCUCAUGGGUGUGCCGAAAAGAAACUAGGAAUGAGAGGCUAUUUCUUUUUUUUUUUUUUUGUAAUGACGGUGGUGUCCAGACCAACUUGAAUGCUCCCUUAUUCUUUCCAUCCACGAAUUCCACGUGAGUGCUAGUACUGCAACAGCCUAGGCUUUUCAACCUUUUGUCCGUCUGGUUGGAGAAUGCUUCCUUCAGUGGAAGGGCAUUGCCAAAUUGCAUUCCAGACCAUCUCAAAUCUCAGACCACAAGUAAGCUGCAACGGACAAUGUUAAAGGCGGUGGUCCACAUAUUCAGUCGGAGAUUUGAACACGAAGCACCAGUUGACAUCAUAAUUUGCUUUUUCCUGAGCAUCUGGACACAAAGCACCAGUUGACAUUGUAAUUUGCUUUUUCCUAAAAUGCUCAGCCAUCAAUAUUGUUUCCGUUGCUACCAACCAAGUGAAAAGGCACAUUUUUGUUGGUGUCGCGUGAAUCCAACUACUUAAAUGUGGAAAAUUCUACGCCUUCCUUACCAAGAGCUUAGGAUAAGUUAACUGAAAGCAAGUGAUCUCCUCCCUCUUCCGCCACCCUACCUCCUCAAGUCCUGACUAGCAUGAGUUGUACUUCGCUGUAAAUUAAGUCAAUUAGACCUUGAAUUAACUGUCUCCCGUCCCUAAGGUUCCUCCUCGGAAAGCUUCUCUUGACCUUUACGUCCCAAUUCUUGUAACCUUUGAUCUCUUGUAUUAUCAUAUCAUACUAUGAGUAUUCGGGAAUGUGAGUGUCAAUGUCUCUCCACACUGCCUGUAACUUCUAUCCCCUCAAAGGUUUUGUUGCCGAUGAAGUCUUCCCGUCCUUUCUUAAUAUACCUUAUCAACUUUGACAGUUAAGCUUAAACAUGGUUGCUCAAAUGGAUUGCCAAGGAAUGUCACUGAACUUCGUAGAUGUUACGAGGGAAAGGAAACCUAUGGAGGUAAAACAAAUGGUGGAGAAACUCAAGUGUGUGGCCUAGUAGUUAGUGAAUGGUUGAGAACUAUGAUGUCUUAAGUUCAACUCCUAGCGGAGGAGAAAGCAGUAAGUGGCUUCCUCAUUUGUCCAAGCCUUGGUGGACAGAGUUACCUGGUACUUGCGUUGGUGGAGGUAGAAGGUACCCGUGGCACUAGUCGAGGUGUGGCGCAAGCUGGCUUGAACACCACCGUUGUAAAAAAAUGGUGGAUUAUCAUCCAUUCUCACAUAUGGUGGACACAUUGUGGAGAGAGGGAAGGAAGAUGUUUUGAAGACAGUGAGUACAUGCUUUCCUUCUUUGUGUAAAACGGAUAUUUUAGAUGGAGCUGAAUUGAAUCCUUAAUAGAUUUCAUAGUCCCUGUGAGGAUAUAUGUGAGGAUAUAAAUGGGACAAUCUUUUUGCUUGUAAUACCUGUUAAGAACCAAAAGUUAGGGGUUGCUUGGUUUCUGGUUAGAGUUACGCAAGUAUUAGUAAUGCAGAAAUUACCGAAUUAGAUAUGUAGGUAAUGGAUGUGUUGUCGCGGCGUAUUCAAGGAGAGGUGCCUUGGUAUGUGCUUUUUGCAGAUGAUAUAGUUUUGAUUGAUGGGACGCGGGGGGGUGUGAACGAUAAAUUAGAGGUGUGGAGACAGACCCUUGAGUCUAAAGGGUUCAGGUUGAGCUAGAGCAAGACAGAAUAUUUAGAAUGCAAGUUUAAUGACGUGAGGCAGGAAGACGAGGUGGUAGUGAGAUUGGAUUCCCAGACGGUGUGUAAGAGGGAUAGUUUCAAGUAUCUUGGGUCUAUGAUUUAGGGGAAUGGUGAGAUUGACGAAGAUGUCUCUCACCGUAUUGGGGCGGGAUGGAUGAAGUGGAAGCUCCCCUCGGGGGUGUUGUGUGAUAGGAAGGUGCCGCCCAAGCUUAAAGGCAAAUUCUACAGGGGGUAGUCCGUCCGGCCUUGUAUGGAGCGGAAUGUUGGUCAGUCAAAAACUCUCAAAUUCAAAAAUUGAAGGUGGUGGAAAUGCGGAUGUUGCGUUGGAUGUGUGGGCUUAGUAGAGGUGAUAGAGUUCGAAAUGAGACUAUUCGGGAAAAGGUUGGAGUGGCUUCAGUGGAGGACAAGCUGCGAGAAGUUCGAUUGAGAUGGAUUGGGCAUGUGAUGAGGAGGAGCACGGAUGCCCCGGUUCGUAGGUGUGAGAAGCUUGCUUUGGAUGGUUUCAGGCGGGGUAGGCCGAAGAAAUACUGGAGAGAGGUGAUCAGGCGGGACAUGGAGCAGUUACAGCUCACUGAGGACAUGACCCUAGAUAGGAAGAUCUGGAGGACGCAGAUUAGGAUAAAAGGCUAGUGCCAGUUUGAGUCGUUGGGGUAGGGCAUUACUUGGUAGAUGUAUUGUUCUUGCUAAGACACUUUGUUGCAUGCUUUAUUACGAAUUUGUUUACUAUUCUUUGUUUAUUAUUCCUUGUGGGUGGCGUAUUUUUGUCUUGACAUCUUGUUCCAUGCUUUAUUAAGUAUUUGCUUAUUAUUCCUUGUCUUGAGCCGGGGGUUUAUCGGAAACAGCCUUUCUACUUCUUCUGAAGUAGUGGUAUGGACUGCGUACAUCUUACCCCCCAGACCCCACUACACUGGGUUUGUUAUUGUUGUAUUAGUAAUGCAAGGCUUAGUUAUGCCAUCUUCUACCCUGCAUAAAAUAAAAAGUAGGUUCCCUCAUAACUUAAACAUGUAUUAGUUAUGCGCAAAAGGUAAAGAUUAACCAAACAUUGUAUUAACGAUGUUAUGUCAUAAAUUAAAAGAGAAAAUCAAUCAAAACAUUGUAUAACUUAUACUAGAUUCUGUGUGGAGAUUAUUUUUGUCCAUUUUUAUAACCUUACAAAAAUUGUAUAAAGUUAUGCUAGUUUUAAUACAUGGAUAACUCCUCUCUAACCAACAACCAAACAACCCAAUAGUGUUGUAGUAAUAAACUCUAGCAUUAUUCAAGAAAUUUUCUUCAGAAUCUGCAGCCAAAAGGAAGUGUGAUAUUUUGAGUCCUCCACUUCUCCUAUAAUUCUACUUUUUCUCUCUAAUUUCCCUCUAUAGAUCUUUCUCUAAAUCUCCAAAUCACUUUCCUAGUAGGACCUUGUUGAAAACUUCCUAUGCCCAUUUGUUGAAUCACAUGGGAAGUUCCUUUGGAACCUUUACAAUUUACCUGCAACACUAGAUGUUGUAAAGCAAUGACAUGAAGUAUGUGGAGAUGCUCGACAGAAUGCUCUUAACUAAUACUUCCAUUCCUCUUUUGAUAAAUUUCUCUCUGCAUUAUUCUGGUACAAUUAAAUGAAAGUUUCCACUGUCAAAAGUUGAAGUGAUCUGUAAUGUUGAUCGUUUUGUGUGGUGUUGUACUUCUGUACAUUAUUUUGCUGUUGUAUUUGUUCCUUUCUUGUAGGCUCUGCACUUCUUUCCUUACUAAUCAUUUUGUUUGCUUUUUCUUUUACUUGGAUUUUUGCAUUUGAGCCAUGGGUCGGAAACAGCCUCUCUACCUCCAUGAGGUAGUGGUAAGGUCUGCAUAUGCUCUACCCUUUCCCCAGACCCCACUUGUGGGAGUUCACUGGGUAUGGUGUUGUUGCUGCUUUUGUAAUAGAACCAAUGCAGAUUAUGCACUGGGACCUAAUCCCUCUCUUUGGAGUAUGUAUGCAGAUCUUCCACCUGAUAAAGGACCAUUAGACUGGAAUACAAGGAUGAAGAUUGCAGCUGGUGCAGCGAAGGGUUUAGAGUAUCUGCAUGACAAAGCCAACCCUCCCGUAAUAUAUAGAGACUUAAAAUCUUCCAACAUACUUCUUGAUGAAGGAUAUCACCCUAAAUUAUCAGAUUUUGGGCUUGCUAAAUUGGGCCCUGUUGGCGACAAGACUCAUGUGUCUACACGUGUGAUGGGCACAUAUGGUUAUUGUGCUCCUGAAUAUGCAAUGACAGGUCAACUCACAUUGAAAUCUGAUGUGUACAGUUUUGGGGUUGUCUUCCUUGAGCUGAUUACAGGCCGCAAAGCAAUUGAUAACACUCGGAGUCAUGGGGAGCAUAAUCUUGUUGCCUGGGUAUGUCCUCUCUGUGAUUGUAUUUGGUCAUUAUGAUAUGUGUCCUCUGUUUCUUAGAUUUCUUUGACAUUUGAUGUGUGGAAGAGACUGUUUUCCUUUAGUUCAUUUCUACACCUUCAAAAGGCAGAAUAUUGCUUUUGCCACUUUUUAUACAUUGAGAAAUGUGUUUGCAGGCUCGACCACUUUUCAAGGAUAGGAGGAAGUUCCCGAAAAUGGCAGAUCCACUAUUGCAAGGCCGUUACCCAAUGCGAGGACUUUACCAAGCACUGGCUGUGGCAGCAAUGUGCUUGCAAGAACAAGCAUCUACUAGACCUUUAAUAGGGGAUGUUGUGACAGCUUUAACAUAUUUAGCCUCUCAAACUUAUGACCCUAAUGCAGCAGGUGCACAAAGUAACCGCGUUGGUUCAUCCACUCCAAGGAGCAGGGAGGAUAGACUGCACUCUGUUGAUGGAGUAGAUAGCCCUGAACAUUGCAGUGCUCACCAUGGUUCUCCUUCCAUCCAGAGGAAUUCUCCUGAUUCCAGGAAAAGAGAUUAUGCCAGGGAUUUCAAUACUGGGAUAGAGUUGAGGAAAAUUGCAACUAGUGGUGGAUCUAGUCGUAAGUGGGGUUUGGAUGAAUCAGAACGUCCUGAUUCUCAAAGAAACAGCCCUGUCAGUGCAGGUAGAACUAGAGAAACCCCAAGGAAUCGAGAUUUAGACAGGGAACGUGCAGUUGCUGAAGCAAAGGUAUGGGGCGAAAAUUGGAGAGACAAAAAGAAGACAAAUGGAAGGGGCAGUAGUUUUGAUGGGAUAAAUGAUUGAUUUAUGCAAUAUAUAUGUCUCAAGGAUUUUUAGGAAUAUAGGUGGUGAUCUUCAUGAUGCAAAUACGUGAUACUGCAAUUGCAUAAUCCUUGAGUUCUUGGUUUUCCAUCCUCACCUUGGAAGUAAGAGUCCUGUCCUACUUUCGGUGUUUGCUCAUUGAGGGUAAUUCAUUCUUGUUCAAUGUAAAUUAGAUGUUUCAGCUGUUGUGGUCGAAAUGAGAGGGAAACUAGCCUGAUGGUGCAAUCUGGGGCUAGAGUUGGGGAACAUGUUAAUCUUAUGUAUUACGGGGUUUCUAGAGUUUAUGGUACAGAAGAAGUGGGGAACAUAUCUAACUUUCGCUUCUUAUGUGGUCUUUGUAUGGAGCGGACGUCCCUUGUAAAAUUCCAUUGUUGCACCUUGUAUUCUGUUGUAGUUCCCAUCUGUAAGGAUUUCCGAGUCUCGCGUCUUGGCUUUUAUAGAAAAGGGGUUUGAGUAUCAUAACAUGUCUCAUGAGAUGAAUGAUUUGUAUAUUUUGGAUAACCAGUUUUGAGGGUUCAAACUGGAAAUCUCGCUUUUAGAAGGAUCUGUUAACGAGUUCAACAUUCCUUGCUAUAAGCAACAGCAGAAGAGUCUAGUGAAGACCAUCCUCAUUAUAUAUUGCAUGAAGUCCAUUUGCUGAUGUGACCUUCUAUGCAAUAGUUUGGCAUAUUGUUUGCUCUGAACUCUGAGAUUUUGCACCUUCAUUUCAUUUUCUUGUCACUAACCAUAGAAAAACGAAGUUGGUGAAAAUAUUUAGAAAUAAAUUCAUCAAACGGAUUCUCACAGUUUGUAGAAUGUGAGAUUUUUUGUGGAGAAUGGGGUUGGGGUGCAAAAAAAAUGGAAAAUAUUUGUUAAGAUUAGAGCAGCACAGUUUGUAGAGGCCUCUCCUGACAUGAAACGUUAUUUAUUCAUAAAAUGAAUAGGUGAAAUGAAAGCAAAGAAAAUCUAAUUAAAUUAUAGUUCAUAGGUCGGGAUAACUUUCCCAGUAGUCCCUACUCACUGGGACUAACAAACUUCCUCACUAAUAAAGCACACAAUUUCCGUCACUUUGUGCAAAAUUUGGCUCAAUGGAAAUAGGGAACGGGGUCACCAUCCAGCGAAACGAAGAGAAAAUGAGACUAAGAAGAAACGUGAAGAGACAUCCUGGGCUAGACGUGUUUUUUUUUUGUUGUUCUUGGACCUGGGCGACGCUAUAAGUGUGUGGGGUGUGGCUUUCAUGCCUGAUUUUUACAAAUAUACCAAACACCCCAGGUCUUUUCAAACACUCCAUUACCAGUAUUAUUUUUCAUCCUCUUUUCGGAUUUGAGGCUUAGGCCUCAUUUGUUUGCACUUAAUGGAGGUCUGAAUCAUAAUGAUUCAGACUUCAGACCAUUACGUCUAUUUAUUUUUCAUUAAGAUUUUGGUUUUUAAUAGGUCUGAAUAAGUUUUAAUCAUUCAAAUCUGGAACUAAGACUGCGUUUUUUUUUUUAAGAUUCAGACGUCUGAGUUUGAAUGCAUAUCUGAAUGCUUAAGAUGUUGUCUUCAGAUCUGAAAACUGAAUGAUUAAGACUAUUUGUUUUUCAAUAGCUGAAUAUGCAAAAUUUAUUUAACUGCAUAUAUAAUAAAAAAAUAUAAUUUAAAUAAAAAAUAAUUAUAUAUUAGAAAAAUAUUUGUUUUAAUACAAUAAAAUUAUUAUUUGAUUGAAAAAAUAUUUAUAUUUGUUAGUGAUAAUGGAGAUGGUUUAUAAUGGUGGUGAUGGUGGUAAUGAUUGAUGUUAGUGGUUAGUAACGUUGGCGGUGAUAGUUUUGAUUGUAGAGAUGUUUGGUAUUGUAGUGACUGUUAUGAUGGUGGCGAUUGACAGUGAUGGUAGUAGUGAUGUGAAGUUGGUAGAUGUUAGUACUUGGAGGUGUUGAUUGUGAUAGCUUAAGAAUGAAUGCAUGAUGGUUGACAUAUGUUGGUGGUAGGUGGAGAUGUUGUUAGCUGUGAGGUGGAUAUGAUUAUUAGUAGAGAUGUACUGUAGCGAUGAUGAUGGUGGUUCAAGUGGUGGUAGAGGUGGUGGAACCGGUGACAAUAGUGGCGGUGGUGGUGGCUGAAAAAUGUGUGGAUACUGAUGAUGUGUUAGUGGUAGUUAGCAGUGGCGCUAGUUGUGAUAGAUGAGUUGGUUGGUAGUUGGGAUUGACCAAUAGUUGUUGAUGGUGAUGGUGGUGUUGGCAUUGGCCUUAGCGUUGACAGUGGUGAUAGCGACAGAUAUAAUUAAAACAAUGAAGGUGGUAGAUAUGACAGCGGCUGAAAAUAGUGGUUAGUAGCAAUUAUGAUUGUGAAUGGUGGUUGUGAUGGUGGAGGUGGUUGGAGGCUAGGUGGUGGUUGACAAUGGUGGUGGUGGCAGAGGUGAUUAGUGGUGGUGACUGAUGAUUAUGGAUAGAGUGACGAUGAAUAUUAUCCAACAAAAGAAUACUUGAUUAAGACUUAAAUUCAGAUUUGAAUGAUUAAGACCUAUUCAGACUUAUCAAGAGCCAAAAUCUUAAUAAAAAACAAAUGCAGUUAAUGGUCUGAAGUCUGAAUCAUUCAGAUUCAGACCUCCAUUAAGUGCAAACAAUUGAGGCCUAAGUCUUAAAUUCUUGUGUUGGAUAAUAUUCACCACCACUGUAUCCAUAAUCAUCAAUCACCACCGUUAACCACCUCUGUCAUCACCACCAUUAGCAACCACCAUUUAGCCACUAUCACCAACCACCUCCACCAUCACAACCAUCAUUCACAAUCAUAAUUGCUACUAACCACUUUUUUCAGCUGCUGUCAUAUCUACCACCUCUAUUAUUUUAAUUAUAUCCACCGUUAUCACCACAGUCAAUGCUAAUGCCAAUUCCAACGCCACCAAUGCCACCACCAUCAUCAACCACUAUCAGUCAAUCCUAACCACUAACCAACUCAUCUAUCAUAACUAGCGCCACGGCUAACUACCACUAAUAUAUUAUCAACAUCCACAUAUUCUUCGGCCACCACCAUUGUCAGCAGUGUCGUCACUUUUACCACUGCUUCAACCAUCAUCACUGCUACAUUAUAUCUCUACUAAUAAUCAUCUCCACCAUCACAGAUAACAACAUCUCCAACUAUCGUCAACACAUCAUCAACCAUCAUUCAUUUAUUUUUAAGCUAUCACAAUCAACACCUCCAACUACUAAUCAACCCACUUCAUAUCAUUACCACUACUACUAUCAAUCGCCACCAUCAUAAUGGUCACUACAAUACCAAACAUCUCUACGAUUGCAAUUAUCACCACCAACAUUAUUAAUCACUAAAUUCAAUCAUUACCACCAUUACAAACCACCUCCAUUAUCACUAACAAAUAUAAAUAUUUCUAUCAAAUAAUAAUUUUAUUGUAUUAAAUCAAAUAUUUUUCUAAUAUAUGAUUAUUUUUUAUUUAAAUUAUAUAUUUUAUUAUAUAUGCAAAUAAAUAAAUUUUGCAUAUUCAGAUAUUAAAAAACUAAUAUUUUUAACCGUUCAGUUUUCAAGUCUGAAGACAACAUCUUAAUCAUUCAGAUAUGCAUUCAGAUUUAGACGUUUAAAUAUUAAUAAUAACAAAUGCAGUCUAAGUUCCUGCACCAAAAUUCCUCAUUGGCUGACACCUCUCCAACCCAUCAACUAAUCCAUGACAAUUUAAACACCUUGAGAUUUGGUAAGAUGAUCAAAAAUAAUAAUUUUUAAAAACAUAUUUUUUAAAAAAGAAAAAUAAAACUUAUCUAAAAUUAAAUAGCAAAAUAAAUCUACAAAGCAAAUAAACAUGGAUUUGCCUCCCAUAAAGCGUUAUAUUUGACGUGAUUCAAUUUAACUACUUGGAGGAUAUGAAUUGACUCCCUAUUUUUGAAUCAACCUUUUCGACUUAGCUCAUUGGGAGGUGGUACAAAAGCAAAGAGAUCAACUUUCGAUGCCUCAUUUUGCACUUAUUGGCAUUUAGUGAGGGAUGCCAUUUUAUCCUUUUGACAUGACAACAACAACAACAAACUCAGUGUAUUUCGACAUAGUGGGUCUGAGCAAUGUAAAAUGUACGCAGUCCAUACCACUACCUCCGAAGAAGUAGAGAGGUUGUUUUUGAUAGACCCAUGUCUCAAGAUAAAGGAUAGUAAAUAAAGUCGUAAUAAAACAUGAGACAGGAUGGAUAAAAUAAUAGAAAUAAGACACCCACAGAGUAAUACCAUACACUCACAAAUCAAAGACGCCCACCACACCCAAACUCUCAUAACUAGCAGCUCCAACCUAUGGACACAACCCUAGGAUUACUAGCUCGUUUACACCAAAGCUCUUCUAACUACUUGUUACGACUCACCCACACGCACUAGCCUUCUAACCUAAUCCGCGUCCUCCAGACCUUCCUAUCUAGGGUCAUGUCCUCAGUAAACUAUAACUGCUCGAUGUCACGUCUUAUUAAAUCCCUCUAGUAUUUCUUUGGACUACCUCUACCCCUCCUAAAACCAUCAAAAACUAGCAUCUCACACCUACGAACAGGGGCAUCCGUUCCCCUCCUCAUCACAUGCCCUAACCAUCUCAGCCUCACUUUCUGCAUCUUGUCUUCCACUAAAGCCACUCCCAUAUUCUCACGGAUAGUAUCAUUCCUAACUCUAUCUCCCCUAGGGAAAUGCUCUGAAUCUCCUCUCAUUGUCCUCACAUGAGUCUUCGCUCCAUUAUAUAUGUCCUUAAUAGAUUUGAUGUACGCCACCGAGACCCCUCUCACCUCCAAGCAUCUCCAAAGAACCUUCCUAAGGACUUUGUCAUACGCCUUCUCUAGGUCGAUGAACACCAUGUGUAAUUUCCUCUUCCUUUCCCUAUACUGCUCCAUCAAUCUCCCCACCAGGUGAAUUGUUUCUUUUGUCGAGCGACCGGGCACAAAUCCAAAAUCAUUUUCUAAAAUAGACACGAUCAUUCUCAACCUCCACACGACCACCCUAUCCCAAAUCUUAAUGGUGUGCCUCAACAACUUAAUACCUCUGAGUUAUUGCAACUCUGAAUGUCACCGUUGUUCUUAUAUAAAGGAAUCAUAGUACUCCAUCUCCAAUCCUCAGGCAUUUUCACAGUCUUGAAAAUGUCGUUAAACAAAUCAGUUAACCACCUUAAACCUUCUCUGCCAAAAUACUUCUAAAAAUCCAUUAUAAUUUCAUUAGACCCCGUCACCCUACCCCUCCGCAUCCUGUGAAUAGCCUCUUUGACCUCCUCAAACUUAAAACAUCUACAGUAACUGAAAUCACGACACUCAUCUGAGUGAUCCACCUCCCCUAACUCAAUGUCUCUGUCCCCUUCAUUGUUCAGGAGUCUAUGAAAAUACGCAUGCCAUCUUCUUUUAAUGUGAACAUCCUCUACCAAUACUCUACCAUCCUCCCCCUUAAUGCACUUUACUUGAUCGAGGUCACGACUCUUCCUCUCUCUAGCCUUAACAAGCCUAUACAACCUCUUUUUUUUUGCCUCUCUUCUCUAACCUCACAUACAAGCUCUCAAAUAUUAUUGUCUUAGCAGCCAUAACUGCUAACUUAACCUCUUUUCUAGCUAACUUGUACUCCUCCCUAUUCACCUAUUUCUUCUCUUCAUCCUUACUCUCAACUAGCUUAACAUAUGCCCCCUUCUUAAUCUCCACUUUCUUCUUUACUUCUUCAUUCUACCACCAGUCCCUCGGAUGAUGUCUAACCCAGCCCUUCAAAAUAACCUUUUACUUGAUAAAUGAUCUUGGGCGUAUUUAUAUGUCCAAUCACCAAUAUUCACCCAUAUUUGGACCUGUUUUGAGAGCUAUAAUAUGCUAUUCUGAGGGUAAUUGAACUUUAAUUGUGCUCCUUACCUAAUGGACAUGAUUAGCAUAUCUAGGACUAAAUUAUUAUGGAUUUGGAUGGCAUUAAAAAAUAAAGAGGUGAGAAACUACAAGUCCAGAGGCUUCUUGAGUUGAUCAUUGAGGUGCAACGGAGAAUCAAUCAAAAUUUCCCAAUUUAGGAUAUCACCGCUGAGCGGUGAGGAGCACAUUUACAUUUGUCAAGAACUAGAAGGUCACAACGAUAUCACCAUUUAGCAGUGAGAAGCCAGCUCAUAAUUGUCAAAAGACAGAAAGUCAUCACGAUAAGGUCGCUCAGCGGUGUGUAUAGCGGUGAACAUCAUACCGCUCAGCGGUGAUAGGAAAAAGUGGGUUAUUCAGCCCAGCUAUAAAAGAAAAAAUUCACUAACAAUUGGGGACACUUUGGAAAGCAUAGCAGCGGCGGGAAAAUACAAAAUUCUCUCUUUUAGGGUUCUCAGAAUUUCCUUUGAACUUCUUCACUUCAAGAUUAAUUCUUGGUAUGAUUAAUUACUUAUUUUAGAUGUUAACUUCAAACAUGAGUGGCUAAACACCCUUGCUCUGGGGUUAAGGCCAAGAACAUGAUUACUCUUUGAUAUUAUUUAUCGUAGUUUCUUGUUGGAUUAUCAUAUGGGUUAUUCUUAAUUUCUUGAGCUUACUAUUUUGAUGAGUGGCCACCAUUAGAAUAAUUCUAUAUUUCUAUGUGAAUCCAGGAGGAGAAUUGUGGAAUAGAACAAAGAAAUUAAGGAGCAAGGUUCUAAUCCUUGCAUUAAAUAGAGGAUUUGAGUUAGCACCUAGGAUAGGGAUAUACCUAGGAGCCUUGUUUGGUUCAAUUGCAAGAAGAUAGUUAUAUGCAUCUAGUUGAAUUGUUGCAUCACUGUGGGAGCUGUAGUUGCAAUAUUCAGAUAGAUAAAAGAUUUGAGGUCGAGAGACCAAGAUCGUACCAUAACCCUUGCGAAUCAAUAACCUGAUAACCAACUAGAAUGUGAUAAGAAGAUAGAAUUGUAUGAUUGUUAGGUGUGCCUCAACCAUGGAAUCCUUAUCAUUACUGUUCACAAUCGUUACUUGCUUUGCUAUUGUCACAAAUUGCUAUUUCUUAUUUACAUUUUUAUUCAACACUUAAAAAAUCAUCUUGAUACUUUAUCACUUAAUACCUCUUUAUUAAAAACUAAAAUUAAUUAAAUUGCUAUUUGCUUAGUCCUCGUGGGAAUGAUAUUCGACUGUCUGAGUCACUAUAUUACUUGUACGAUCACAUACACUUGUAUAUACAUUUGAACGCAAUAAGUUUUUGGCACAAUUUUUGGGGACUAGUAUAAUUAGUAAUUUGCUAAAAUUUUGGUUUUUGAUAAUAAGUUUAAGUGUUAACUACUUGAUCUUAGCAAUUGAAUUUUUGCAAGUUUAGAUAAAUACAGGACUAGCGAGAGAUAAAGAGUUGGUAGAGCCUUUUACAGAACCAGAACUGAUAGUUCAACAACGGCUAAGAGCUCAAUAUCCUAUUCAAUAAGUUCAAAUGGCUGAAAGAACAGAUCUGAAUGUGGUUGAUCCAAAUGCCGGACAUGUCCCAACUCCAGUUAUCCCAGUUGUUCUUGCUCAAGUAGUUGCUAGACCUGUUUGUGAGGUGUCAAUCCUAUUCAUGAACCAUGCGACUAACAAUAUUCACUAGCCCGAACCAGGUAGUCAAUUUGAAUUAAAGCAGAAUAUGGUGCAAUUACUGAUUUUAGUGGGGCAAUUUUCUGGCCUUUUACAUAAAGACCCACAGCAUCACAUACAGAACUUCCUGUAAAUAAGUGAUACUUAUAUUCCUACAGGGGUGAAUACUGAUUAUGUCAGACUAAGGCUCUUCUCUUUUUCCUUAAUUGGGGAAGUUAAGAGGUGGUUACAUGCUGAAUCACCACUCUCCAUCACUUCUUGGGAAGAUUUAGCUCAGAAAUUCCUUAUUUGAUUCUUUCCAUAUGGAAAGACUGCACGUUUGAGAAGUGUGAUUCUGAGUUUCAGAUAGAAAGCAAGAGACAAUCUCUACCAAGCUUGGGAGAGAUUUAAAAGUAUGCUCAGAAAUUUCCCUCACUAUCAUCAGUCUAAUGAUGUCCUUAUUUAUAUUUUCAUUGAAGGGUUAGAGCCAAAUACCAAGAUUCUCUUAGAUUCAGCAGUGGGUUGGCAAACUCUUGAGAAGACUUAUGAGGAAUUAUACACACUGAUGAAUCGGAUUUCACAAGGGAAUCCUGAAUGGCAUGCUGAUUCGAAGAGUGCUCCUAAGAAAGUUACUGGUGUGUUAGAGAUAGAUCAGUUCACAACAUUAUCAUCCUAAAUUACAGCAAUGUAAAAUCAGAUGGUUACUUAGAUUAACAAUAUAAAAUUGGGGGUUCUGCAAGUAGCAGCUAUAGAUAAUGUAGUCAAAUAGUUAAAUUCGUGGUGUGAGGUUUGUGGAAGUAGUGAACACGCGGCAGAUGCUUGUGCGAUUAAUCCAAAUUAUUUAAUUAUUUGGGGAAUGUCAAUCAUCCAGUAUAAUAGAAUUUUGGUAACUCAUAUAAUCCCAACUAGAGGAAUCAUCCUAAUUUCUCAUGGGGUGGAAAUCAGGUAUAGAAUAAUAAUCAGUAUAAGGGGCCAGUGCAACAGAAUCAACAGUAGGUUCAAAAUAAUCAGUCUACUACUCAAACAAUUAAUAUGGAGGAAAUAAUGAAGCAAAUUUUAGCUAAUCAAGUCCAGUUUGCAAUAGAUUUGAAGAGUCAAUAGUUGAUAAGUAAAAAUUUAGAGUUACAACUUGGUCAGAUUGCGGGAGCACAAAACACAAGACCUCAAGGUGGCUUACCUAGUGAUACAGAGGCAAAUUUAACAAUCCAUCCUUCCCCUCCAAAAGGAGAUUUUAGUAAAUAACCAAAUAUGAUACUCGGGCUAAGGGUCAAGUUGGUAGUUUUUCUUACAUCUCCCCCUCCCGGAUCCCAGGUAUCAUAUACGCCCCCAAAAUAAAGAGCCUUGAACACUAGAAGAAAAGCACCUAGACGUAACAAGAUUAAGUGAAUACCUAAAAUUGUAGUCAUUUUAUUUUGAUCUUGCCAGACAUAACCAAAGAAGGGAAAAGAUUCUCCAAGUGUCUCAGGUCCCAGAAGUGGAAAUAAGAAUCACUCCAUCUAUUUUCUCUAUUCUUAUUCUUGUUCUUUAUUAUUUUAUAACAAAAGUUAUUUUAAAUUCAAUUUGAAAAGGAAAAGUAUUAAAAUUAAAUAAUACUAAAACUUUGCUGGAAUAAAAUACAAAUACAGAGUUUCGCGGCUAUUACCCCAAAAAUAUAUUUUCAAUUUCUUUUUCUUCCCCAUUUUUUCCCAUUCUCUCUACCGCAAAAUUCUUCCAAUUUCUCACCGCGGUUUCAAAAUUCACCUAUGAAAUCUCUCAUUUUUACAGUAGCUCAUGGUUCUGAAAAUUGAUUGAGAAGCUGUAACUGUUUUGAUAGGUAAACAAACUCACCUCUUUUUUUUGCUGUACGGUGCUCAACAAAUUGGUGCAAAAAAAGGCUUUUUUACUGUGAUUUUGAAAGUUUGAGUCUUUUGUUUCUGGGUAUUUCUAGAAGUUUAUCAGAUCGCAAUUUUUGUUUGUAUUGGUUAGUGUUUGUUGUAAUUUGUGUUUAGUGCUGAGAGUUAGUAAUGAUAUCUUUCGGCGGCCCCUUUUUGAGCAAAUAGACAUAGAAUUAAUAACCUCUGUUCAUCACGCAAGAGAAAUCUUAUCGAUCUUAGGAAUAAUUGGUAGGCAUAAUUCCUAUUGUGGCCUAGUGGUCAAUGAAGUGAGGUGAGAAUUGAGAACCAUGAGGUCUCGGGUUUGAAUCCCCUUAGAGAAAAAAAUACUGGGUGAUUUCUUCCUAUCUAUCCUAGCCUUGGUGUGAAGAUUGGAGGUGGUAGGUAUACCAUGGAAAUAGUCGUGGUGCACGAAAGCUAGUUCGGACAUCGCAGUUAUCAAAAAAAAAUAUUGGUAGGCAUACUUUAUAUUGUUGCCUAGUGGUAAAAUGAAGUGGGAUGAGAAUCAUAAGGUCUCAGUUCAAAUCCCAGUAGAGAUAAAACUAGUAAAAACAAGCAAGGAAUUUUCUUUUUGUGUAUAAGAAACUUAUAUGGAGUUAAGGUAAAAGUACUUGAGGUGCAGCUACAAUUUAAUGUUGUUAAUACAAAUUAUGCAUGCAAGUUUUUGAUAGCCAUUUGAAAUGACUAUGCGAGUUUUGAAGGUUAAGAAAAAGUUACUAGUUGCUAAUAAGCCAGUUGUUCGCUUAUAUAUAAUAUCUACCAUUUACUUAAAUAUUGAUCAACAAACUACGCGUGGACAUCUAUUUUGCUGAAACUAUAAUUUGGUGCGUGUACAUAUUAAAAUCAUGUUUAUUAGUGAUUUAGUUUAUCACUUCCCAAACAUAUUCUCAUAAACAGAAUCUUAUAUUGUGCUUGACUGAUUUUGCUUUUCGGUAUAGGUUUUCCAAGAUUGUAGGUAUGGCUCCAGCAAAAAAGUCCAAAAGCAUAAACAAGCGAUUAUCUCCUACAACUGAAAUCUCUCCCAGUAAAGAUGGCAAUGGGGACAACGGAAAGAAAAGCUUGCAACGGGUGAGUUUUACUGUACUUUUGUUUUCUCUUGUACUAUUCCAUGAUGAGGCAUGUAAGUUCUUUUAUGGUUUUGUUUUCUUUUGGAAUCUAGGAUAAAUUAGUGGCUUCUUGGAAAUGAUAACAUGCUCUUUUUUUGUUUGAGAAUUUGGACCUCGUGACAGCAUAGGAUGGUGCAUGUUACCUUUUCCAUAGUAGAAAAUUGAAAAGAGACAGAUAGUGCAAGGAGAGAUGAAUGAUUUUGUCAAGGAUGUUAUGAAGUUGCUAGAAAUAUGUCGGUGAAAUGAGGACAUUUUUCUCAUGUUUUUCUUUGAAUUUAAGAGGAAAGUUUGGAAUGAAAAGACAAUGUCUGGUUUAACUUUCAACUUUCAUUAAAAACAUAUUGUAAUUAUUUCAUCACGCUAUUUUUAUGGUAGUUAUUUUUGUGGGAAAGUUUUCAAAUUGUUUUCCCACAACUUUCCUCUUACUAAAGGUGUACAGAAAGUUAAUUUUCCACCGCGUCCCUUUUUUACUUGGGAAAGCCUACUCUCAUAAGCUAGCUUUUGGUAUUGAGGUAGGCCUAAAGUUCAUUUCUUCACAUGGUAUCAGAGCUAGGUCCGUUGGUUCCUGCUGUUGUGUUUCUCGUCGUUGGCCCCCCACGUUAUGUUUAUCCUGCUCCAGUUGUCCACUCCUGAGUGUGGGGAAGUGUCAAGUCCGACAUUGGUUGAGGGAAUGGAUUGUGGUUUCCUUUUAUGGUCCUGGGAAGUCCUCCUCUCAUUAUGAGCUAGGUUUGGAUUUGAGUUGGGCCAAGGUUCAUUUCUUCGCACCAAAUGGCUUCUUGAAGAAAGUGUUAAUAUGUUGAGUUGUAAAGGAGAAAUAUUUCAUCUAGUUUCUUACGUUCAAUGUAACGUGUUCUAUAAAGAUUGGGGGAGGGCAAGGCAUUAUGUUUGCAUUUUGACACAGUUAUUUGAUUAAAAUUGCAGAAGCGGAAAUUGUCUGACAUGCUUGGUCCUCAGUGGAGUGAGGAAGACCUGACACGCUUCUAUCAAGCAUACCGCAAGUAUGGUAAAGAUUGGAAAAAGGUCAGUUCAAACUCCAAGUGUAUCCAUCAAUUGAAGUUAAUUAAAAUUACCCUGUACUUGCAUAUGUUUGCUGUUGAUGAUCUCUGAUGCCUUGCCUCUGAGAGCUGCUUUGUACUUAUUGCAGGUUGCAUCUACAGUGAAAUUCCGAACUGCAGAAAUGGUGGAGGCUCUUUACACAAUGAAUAGGGUAUGCUCUGAAUGCUGACAACAAAGUAACACGUCUUUAUAAUUGAAUCCUCUUAGCUUAUGAUAUCAUCUAAUGAAGUAUCUUGAUUGGCAAUGCCACUGAUGUAUACCUAGUCUUAAAUGUCAUCUAUACUGAUAGCAUGGUGAGAGAGUCCAUUUUGUGGAAUCUUAUUCUAAUGCUUCAUGUUGUUGGCUGGUGAACAUUUUGUUAAAUGUAAGUUCUUUGAGGAGCAAAAUACUCUAAUAAAAGUCAGAUCUUUUUCACAAAGAAAUCUUGUUAGGGUUAUCAAUUUUUGAGGGGCUGUUUCAUCUGUUGUUCAGUUUUUCUAGUACUAGUAGGCAAUCAAUUAACAUUGCUUGCCCUCUGCCACAGAGUCUUUGACUCUUUCUUACUCUUGGAAAUAAUUUAACCUUUUCUUUUACAUGGUAUUGGUGGUAUGGUGAUAUGUGCUUCACUACUGGUAUCAUAGAUGCCUUUGGAUGUUAUUAACAUGAGCUGCAAGCUCCUAUCUCCAUGAGUACUCUGUACACAUUCAUAUGGCGUAUCGUGUGCAUGUGUUGUUUUGUACUCACCAGCUGCGUAAAUUUCACCUUUCAGGCGUCCAAAGUAGCGUUCCACGAGUACUUUGAGGUUGCCAUGUUUCAAACACUUCAUACACAUAAGUUUCCUUAUUGUACCUUGUAAAAAUGUCAUCUCCACUAAAGAACAGUAGGAAAGGAGGAGGACAGUGUUAAAAGGAAAGAACAUAGUUCCCAGUAAUUGCAGUAGGAUCUAGGAUGCCGUAUAUCCAUUAGCUAUAAUAUGACACUUAUAGUUUUUCCUUGUUUCUUUUAAUAAAUUUGACAUUUCUAUUCCUAUGUAACUAGCUUUUAACAUAUAUAAUUGAUUGAGUUUCUUUGCAGUGUCUUAUUAUAAUAUCAUCCUCUUCCUCUCUUUUUCUGUCUGUUUUGAGCAGUUUCCAGAUUCCAUUGGUCUUAUUUUUUGUGCAUGUGGCGUCUCUGUGUCAUAUUAACCAGCUUUGUUAACUUUUGGUGCUACUUUAUUUUCCUUUUCUGAAUCCUGAUAUGGAACAUUGCAAUAUUGUGGGUAAUUGAUACUAGUUGAAAGUUUUGCAUCAAAACUGAUCUUCACAUUCAUAAAUCUACAAUACCAGUUGGUGCUAUGAUUUGUUCAUUUUCCUUUUGAUGCUAUUAUGUUGCGUUCACACUGUGAAACAGCCCCCAAACUCCAUUGUACUUGUAAAAGAAAACUGUCAUUUCCUGGUGAAGCACAUUAACUUAGAAAGAGCAAUCUCUUUUUGGAGAGCAUACCAAUCAUCUUCUGGGCCAACAUUUUGCUCUAAAAAAGAGUAAUCACUUCAAUUAUGAUCAUUUUUGCCUUUAUGAUGGCUAUAUACAUAGAAAGCAUGGAAUGUCAUGUUAAUCAUCAUAAACCAUUGUGUUUAUCGCAAAAUCAUCAUAAAUCACGGUCUUGUGAUUUUAGCUAGUAACUGGUUAACUACACUUUGAAGAUUGUUUCUAUGGUGGUAUUAUUAUAAGAUUUUAAAUUUAGAAGAAAUGACACCGAGUAAUUAAUCAGCAUUGAAUAUAUUUUUAAGUCAUAUACAAUGAUGAUGCAAUUCCUUGUCUAUUCAUUGUAUUGUAUUUCAGGCUUAUUUAUCUCUUCCAGAGGGGACUGCGUCUGUGGCUGGGCUGAUUGCCAUGAUGACUGAUCACUACUGCAACUUGGUAAGACUUAAGAUAUAUUGAGUUUCUCCAUCCACCAGACUUAUAUGUUUCUUUCAUAUUUAUGUUUAUUUCAUAGUUGCUUCAUGCUUAAGGAGUAGUAUUAGAAUUUGAGCUUCGUGGCAUCAGAUAGAUGGAAUUCCUUGACACUUCAAUUGAAAAAAUGCAGCUAAUCUUGAUUAGAAAGAUUGUUGCAAGCUGUUCUUUUUAAAUAAGCAGUAGGAACGAUGAUUCUAGGCAUUAGGUCGUUGCAAAAACAUUUUUUUCUUACUGUCGACAAGAAAACCUUUUCUAAAAGAGAACUGUAUAUAUGUUCAGUGUUAUCACUUAUAUUUGUUUAUGGUUUCUGAGUUCUAGUGUUUAAAUUUUGUAGUUGCAUCUUAGUUUUGGGUAUUUGCUGAUGAAAUAACUUGACUAUGGGAUGUCAGGCAGCAAGCGACAGUGAGCAAGAGAGUAAUGAGGACGCUGGAACGUCUCGAAAACCUCAGAAACGUGCAUGGGGUAAAGUUCAUCCUAAUAUAUCUAAAACAUCUGAGAUGACAUCUUCAGCAUUAGCUGCUAGCCAUGGUUGUUUAACUUUGUUGAAGAAGAAGCGUUCAGGAGGUGCGUUGUCCCUUCUAUUCCUCCCACAAUAAAAAGGGAUAAAUUAAAAUGUAGUGUUUAGUUUUAUUCCAGAGAAAAAAGAAUAUAAUAUCUGUAAAAAGUCUUCCAGAUGGACCUAUAUUAGAAUCUUUCUUGCUUGUUAUUCUUGCAUAGAGUUUAUUGUCAGCAGUGCAUUGUACUUUCAUGCAUCAAUAGCUUUUCCAGGAUGUCGUUUUGUUUAGCUGCCUUCCACAUCACGGCCUAUUUGCCAAUUGAACUUAGUCUUGAACUCUUUUUGAAUGUUGACAAACUAAAUCUUUCUUUUUAUUUAUGAUCUGUAACUUGAAGGGGAGCCUUGGAGUAACUGGUAAAGUUGUUGCCAUGUGAUCAGGAGGUCACGGGUUCAAGCCUUGGAAACAGCCUCUGGCAGAAAUGCAAGGUAAGGCUACGUACAAUACACCCUUGUGGUGGGGCCCUUCCCCGGACCCUGCGCAUAGCUGGAGCUUUAGUACACCGGGCUGCCCUUUUUAUUUUUUAUCAUCAGUAACUCAAGAUAGAAGCCUACCCUCUUUUUCUUUAUCCAAGGAUUGAGCACUUGUCAUGUGAUAUUAUUAAUGAAUUUUCUAUGGAGUUUCCUUUCAGGAAGCCGUCCUCGAGCUGUUGGAAAACGAACCCCACGAUUUCCUGUUUCUUUUUCUUAUGAAAAUCCCAAAGGUGAGAAGUAUUUUUCUCCUAGUGGACAGAGUUUGAAAGUGCAGCCACAUGACACCGAUGAUGAUGUGAAGAUAGCGUUAGUUUUAACAGAAGCUUCACAAAGAGGUGGUUCUCCUCAGUUCUCUAAGACACCAAGCCGUUGGACGGAUGGUGCUAUGUUCUCACCUAUUGGGACUGCUGAAAGAAAGGUAUUACUUAACUUCCAUUUCACAUUCUGACUUAUCUGCAUAGACAUGUCCACAGCAGAUCAACUAAUUGAUUUUUUUUUUUUUUUGCAACUAGCGUGUUAAAGUGGAUAUGGGCAACGCCAAGCUUCUUAGUAAUGAAGUGGAUGAAGAAGAGGGAAGCAUGGAAGCAGACACUGGUGAGCUGAUGCGGUAUAAGAAUGAUUUUGAGGAAGCUGAAACCGUUGGUCGAACAACACAGAAGCAAAAAAGACCAUAUGGUAAAAAGUUGGAAGUUGAUGAUAGUGGUGAAAAUCAUUUUGAUGAUAUCAAAGAGGCAUGUAGUGGUACAGAAGAAGGUCAAAGAUUGGGUGCGGCGAGGGGUAAACUUGAAAUGGAGGCCACAGAUGAAAAGAAUGCAAGGGCCUCGUUACAAGGCCCUAGAAAGAGGAGCAAAAAGGUUCUUUUCGGGCGAGGUAUUACAAAGUUUUGUAGAUUACUCUUCUUUAGAGCUUUCCAUUUUAACAAUUUAACAGCAUUUAAAUGUUCUUUUGGUCCUUUUUGAUUUUUUAUUUGAUCUUUUGCCACUAAUUAAGAAGGGGGAUGCAUUCUUGGAAACAUAAGUGAAAUUGAGUCCCUAAUAAGAUCUGAACACGCAUCCAAGUUUGACACAAGUGCUGAGCAAUAAGUAUGAGGUGUUACUAUUGCACUAACCUAAACUAGGGCUAAUUCUCUUCGAAAGAUAAAUUAGAAAAUGAUGCUUUUUGUUUCAUCACAGUGACCAUUAAUUCUUACAAUCUCAAAAUACAUAAGUGUAUACUAGACUGUAUCUGCUUUGUUUUAGCAGAAAGCUACAUAAACCUCAAAUAUUAUCUCCUUAACGCCUCUUCCCGUUAUCUUUUCCUAUCUGGUAUAAAUCCUCCCUCCCCUCCCCCUUUCCCCCUCCUUCCUGGUAUUCUUGAUGUUAAGCGUGUCACAUUGGUAGGUGUUGGGCAAACCUCACUUCAUGAACUAGCUUUGGGCUUGAGUUAGGCCCAAGGUCCAUUUUCUUAUCAUGGUAUCGGAGCCAGACCCUUCCUCAUGGCUCAUUCUUGGUUACUCACUAUUGGGCACCCAUGUUAUAUUGCCAAGGCUCUAGAUAUCACCUGGAGUGUUUUUUUUUUUUUUUGGUUUUGGGUUGGUGGGUGGGGGGGAUAUGUUGUUAAAUGUCCCACUUGUAUGAUAUUGGGCAAUCCUCACGUAAUGAGCUAGCUUUUGAUGUUGAUUUUGGGAGAGGUCCAUUUCUUAUCACUUGACAUGCCCUAAAAUUGAAGGGAAGAGGUUAUUUACAGAAGCAGCAACUCAAGGAUUGCUCGACAAUUGACAUACUAAACAUCUCUGUAACAAUGUUAACAAGUUCAAAGUGGCCAGGAACUUCAGAAGGUGAGCACCAUCAGAAUAAGAGCCGAAACACAGCAGAUUUUCAUGAAUAACCCAAACAAAAUAAGAAACAAAAGAAAACACAAAUAGGUUUACCAAGUGCCUAAUCAUCAAACAAAGUUUCCCAAGUCUACCUUCAAUAUGGGACAAGUCUGUUACUUCCGUGCCAUCAUAGUUAUAGUAAGCUAAGUUUUAUAAUUGCCAUUCUCGGGGAUUUUUUCCUUUGUCCAGUUUUUCGCCUUACAUCGCUUUAUUAUGGCAGGCAAUAGAUGAGACCAUUACCUUCGUAAUAUUAAUGUUUAGGAAGGUACUUUAUUCUUAAAAGUCUUAGACAGAUAGGAUAAGGUAGAGAAAGGAAGGAAUCAAUAUUACAAGUUUUCAAUAACUUAGGGCUUAGGACAUCAUGGAGGUUCUGUUAUAUAUUGUGAUGUUGUUCCUUUUCUCAUUAGCUUGACUUUGUUUUUCAAGUUGUGGAGCAAGAGUUACUUCCGAGUUCUGUUAUUUUAAUGCUAAGUAGCUUGCUACUUUUGGUGAAGUAAUUCGACUUUAAACCUGUUAUUAUAUGAUAGAAACUGUUAUAUCUUGGUAGAAUGAGCGGAAGUAGAGGAUAUAUAUGCUUAUUUGCUUUUUUCCUUCAUGUAGAUGAAAGCUCUUCUUUUGAUGCCUUACAAACUUUGGCUGAUUUGUCUCUAAUGAUGCCAGCAGCUGAAAAUGAAGAUGGUAAGUGUACAAAAUUCUGUUUCUCUAGAUCUUUGCAUGAAAGCUGGCUUAUGGCUAUUUGGGAUAUGCUGGGUGUUGAUAGUAUCUCUUUAUCCCCCUUUCACAUUCUGUCUUAGCCAAAUAUUGUAGCCACUUUGAUCUCUAUGCAUUUCAGGUUUUCUCUCUUGUUAUUUGAAACUUGAGAUCUUUGAAUUUACUCUGUACUUAGACGUCAAAUUUCUUCUGUGAAUUAUUUACUGAAAAAGGAACUUGAGCUAAAUUUUUAAAAGAACAGUGAUUUCUUUUUAGCUUAUCUUUGCACAUUUGCUCUCGGAUUAUGCUAUGCUUCUCUCUCUCUCUCUUUUUGUAUCUUCACAGCUGCUUGCCUGUCCCAGUCUGAGUGCACUUGCUUGAUAAUUUAAGUGAUUUCAUUAAUAUACCAGCACCAAGGAAGUGCUUUGGAAAGACGCAGAAGAUACUGACAUAUUUGUAGUGUAGCUGUAAGCGAUAUAGUAACACAGUAUCCUCUAUGCUAUUUCCUUUUUUCAACCUACACAGCUACACCAAAAUUCAAAUUCUACAGACCUUUGAACUUCAUGAUAGCGUUAUUAUAUCUUUCUUAAAAGAUUCCUAUCUGGUCACCGUUGCUAAAUGUUGCUUAAAGUGAUGCGAGGGAAGGCAAGGCUUGUCUUCCCAGGGGCCAAAGCCAUGCACUUAAGUGAAUUGUGAGCUUCAAAUAAUGAAGCACAAAGUGACCCCAACGAGAAGCAUUAGUACUUUGAAACUCAACUUUGAGGAGUUGAACUAAUAUUAAUGUUAUUGUAUAUUUGAUGUUGAACUAGUUAUUUUAAUUUGAAAUCAAUUAUUUUAACACUAAAUUCAUGCAUGUUUGGUAUUUUCUUAUCUUCUGUAAAUCAUUCACUUCUCUUCAAAGAAGAGUGUGCUUCACUUCUUGCUUUUCGCUUCAAGCCUAGUGGACCUUGUCUCUUUUUUGCUCUUUCCACUUUCAAAACUGUCUAUCCAUUUGAUCCAUAAUAUGCUCAUAGGAAUAGUUCUCUGGACAUCUCAGCAUUUUCGCACCUUCUGAUCCUUCCAAGUAGUGAUACGUUUGUUCAACCCUCUUGGCAUGACUAACCGUAUACCAUAUAUAUUUGUAUAUAUAUUUAAGAACAUAAACCACAAAUCUCAAAAUCUGUCUGCAGUUUAUGACAUAUAAGUAGGUAAUUAAUUUAUUCCAAAAACAUCCAUUUCCAGUGUUUAAGUUUUCCCCCCUUAACUAUUUCCUUUUGUUUUCAAUUGAAGUGUUGGAUAUGCUUACAAUCCUAUAUCUUGAUCGCACUUCAUGUGUUUCCAUUUGAUUUUUCAGCUGUUAUUCUGUCUUAACUGUGAGUAUAUUGGAUUCUCUUUUUUUUUUCAGAGUCAAUGAUGCAGGUAAAGGAUGAAAUUGAUGACCAUUUCGAUGAAUCUGGCUCCUUGGAAGCCAUUCCAGCACACAAACAAAGAGACAAACAAGGAUCGGCGGGGGUUAAAUCGAGAUGGAGUCAAUCUUUAUCAAAGUUUGAAGUUACUUCCAGUAAGACAUCAAAGCAUGGGAAAGUUACUUCUUCUGAUGUUAAUGCUGUUCCUGAAACAAAGCAGGCAAGGAGGGCACAGAAAGCAAUGUCAUCUAAGGUAUUAGGAGACAGCAUUGCAUCCCUGUUUAAUAUUCUGAUGUGCAAAUGAUAUGUAACACUUCUGAGGAUAAUCUUGCAGGCUCGCAAAGCUGAAGUUCAUGUUGACUAUGAUGUUACUGAAUCUCAGGAAGCUGCGGUGAUUUUCUUGUUUUUGUCCAUUUUAAGUGAUUGUUUCGAGAUUUAGACAUGUUUGAGCCACUGUGUUGAGCAUUUUGCCUGAUUGGACACCUUACUGCACUGUUUCUAAUUUGACAUGAUAUUUUCUCCUAUAGGUAAAAGACGCAUCAAAAAAGGCCACCAGUAAGGGUAAAAGAUCCUAUCAGUGUGUGUUGCCUAAAUUAAUUAAAGAUCAGGAGCAUUCAUCAUGUGCAGAUCCAAGAACAGAACGAAGUGAUUCAGCUCAAUCAACUGCACAAAUCCCUGUCGAAAACCAGGUGAACUUGCCUACUAAAGUUAGAAGCCGGCGUAAGAUGGACCUGGAAAAACCUCAAAAACAAAAAGAUUUGAAGAUUCCUGAUAAAAGUUUGGAUGAUCCUAGUGCAUCCUUCACUGCACUUCGUGACAAAGCAUUCAGUCUUAAGGUUUUAGUUAUGCACUUGUAGUUCAUUAUUGUGAUAUGGACACUUGUUAACUUGCAUACAUUGCAUGCAGAAAAAGAUUUCCAGUUGCCUUUCCAACCAUCAGGUACGAAGAUGGUGUACGUAUGAGUGGUUCUACAGCGCAAUUGACUACCCUUGGUUUGCUAAAAGGGAAUUUGUGGAGUACCUGUAUCAUGUUGGAUUAGGGCAUGUUCCAAGGUUAACUCGUGUUGAAUGGGGCGUCAUAAGAAGGUAUACUCUCACUUUCUUCUAUUUGGAAGUCGCACUGUUCCCUGGGCGAGUCCUAAACAUUAGGAGUUUGUUAUUUUUAUGUUAAUGAUGGUUUUCAAUCCUCGUCUUGAUGUAGUUCUCUUGGCAAACCACGACGAUUCUCUGAGCAAUUCUUGAAUGAAGAAAAGGAGAAGCUUAAUCAAUACCGGGAAUCUGUUAGAUCACAUUAUACUGAACUUCGUGAAGGUACCAGGGAAGGGUUACCCACAGAUCUUGCAAGGCCUUUGUCGGUUGGGCAACUUGUGAUUGCGAUCCAUCCAAAAACAAGAGAGAUACAUGAUGGAAAUGUGUUAACAGUUGAUCACUCUAGAUGCCGUGUUCAGUUUGACCGACCAGAGCUUGGGGUUGAAUUUGUCAUGGUAAUUCGUUAUUGCUUAGUAUGUUAUCAUAUGGUAUUCUAUAAUGUUAGUCUAUAGUUUCUCUUAGGUUCACAAAGAUUAGAGAUGAUUACGAAGGUGCAAGUAGCACAUAUAUGAAUAUAGUGAGAGAAGUUUGGUUUAAAUGGUUUGACCAUGCCCUACAUAGACCUCCAUAUGCACCUAUCCGUAGGUGCAGCACUAUGAUGAUUGAAGAUAAUAGAAAAGGACGUGGUAAAUGUAAAAUCCCAUUGGGGAUAUUGUAUCAAAGGACCUAUAAUCUCUCGAAAAUCAAUGUCGAUUUAGCUAAAGAAUAGAACACAAUGAAAUCAACGGAUCCAUAUAGGUGAUGCCGAGUGCGAGAUUAAGGUUUAGUUAUUGCUACACUUGCGUUAGGUCCAGAGUUUGACACAAGUUCUACUUUGGUUAGAGAUGUAUAUGUCAAUAUAAGGGUAUGUGUGAGACUUAAAGAAUCUUUAGUUUUAGAAAACCCCUUAUCUGCCUUUUCUAAGAUAUCAUUUAGUAUUUGAUUGAAGUGCGUUUGGAUUAAAAAAAAAAAGGGCAGCCCGGUGCACUAAAGCUAUCGCUAUGCGCGGUGUCCGGGGAAGGGCCCCACCACAAGGGUGUAUCGUACGCAGCCUUACCUUGCAUUUCUGCCAGAGGCUGUUUCCCAGGCUUGAAUCCAUGACCUCCUUGUCACAUGACAACAACUUUACCAAUUGCUCCAAGGCUCCGUUCUCGCCCCAUCACAAGGGUGUAUCGUACGCAGCCUUACCUUGCAUUUCUGCCACAAGGGUGAAGUGCGCUUGGAUACAUACGAUAAAUAUAACCAACUACAACUAGUUCGGGAUUUAGGAGUAGUUUAUUAAUUGUUUAUGCCCCUUUCGAACCUAUCCCAUAGUGUGAGAGAAAUAACUAAGAGUCAGGUUAUGAUACUGAGUCCAAAUGUCUGUACUAACACUCUGGUGCCAUCCUCCAGAUAUGGUAAGCUAAAUUUUUCUUCUGAGGAUGCUUCUGACAGAAAGUAAGAGAAAAAAGAAAGGCAUAACUAAAGUAAAUUGAUUACUCAAGUCCAACCAAACUUAAUUAUUGAACUCCUGCGUGUAAUCUCUUUAUCUGUUGGAAGACAUCUUAUCUUCUUGUAAUUAUCUUUUCUACUUAUUCAUAACAGGUUCUUUGUGUAUGAAUCACUAUUUCAGUACUGUACUUUUAAAAAGAUUUGGUAUUUCAGUACUUUGUGGUUUGGUUCUCCGGUGAUUGCUUUCUGGACCUGAUGGCUAAUUAAUUAGAACACUUAAUGUUAUGGCAGGACAUUGAUUGCAUGCCUCUAAAUCCAUUUGAAAACAUGCCCACGCUACUUACAAGGCAUGCAGAUGCUGUUGAUAAGUUUUUCGAGAGCUUCAAUGAGCUCAAGAUGAAUGCACGAGCAAAUGAGUUUAUGAAAUUUCCGGCUGGUGACAGCACGGAGAAUGGAGAUGUCUCCUCUCAUUUCUCCCCACCAAGUCAUCCCGUCAGUAAUCUCCUAAAGCAGACGAAGGUCAGUGGUUCUCCUCUACUCUUCCUUAAAUUCCUUUUAUACUUCAUUUAUUUUGGAUUCAGUAGUUCUCAAAAACCCAGGUUUAGAAACUUAUAUUGCAAUUCGUCCCAUACAGUUUCUAAUCAAAACAAUUGUGACCUUGGGGCAAACAAAUUAAUGUUAGGACUUAAGAGAGAACUUUCUUUGUUCCUAAUCUAAAUUAUGUGAUGUUUGAUGCCUCCUUUCUGAAUUUUUGUCUUCUGUGAUGUUUCUUUUUCUCUUGCAAUUAUUCCUUUUCUUCAAUCUCCCCUUGAUUGUACUUUUAAUGAUCUAGAAAUCUGUCUGGGCUGACCCUUAGGACCAACACAGCUUUCGAAACUCAGGAAUAAUGAAUCCACCCCUCUACUCUUCUCCGUUUAAAUACCAAGCUUAGUUUGCAUAGGACUCGAAUCUCUUACUUAAGUCCGAAGCCCCUAGUCCUUUGUCACUUGAAGUAACCACUUCAUGAUUUCUUAUUCACAUAUUCUCCUAACAAUCAAAGAAUACAUAUACACCCAUCUGAAAAAAGAUGUUUGUAGUGCUUUUUUUGGUGAAUGAAAAACUCUGUGGUAUCUCCUAACAUUAUAGUUUGUAAGAAAUAGAAUGUAAAUUGUAGCAAGAAUACAGGUGUCAUAUAACUUUUUGUACCACUUUAGUACAAGACUUCUGUCCCAAGUUAAUUGUUCUAAGUUGACUUUGGGGGUUUCAAAAUUAUGAGAUUUAGCCAUCAAAUUAUUUUUGAUAUAUUUAGCUUUUGAAACAAAGAUAUAAAUAUUUGAUGGUAUUUCUAUUUUAAUUUAACGUAGCUGCCCUUGUUUUUCUGAAUUUUGGUAAUUGAGGUGAAAUACCACACCAAAGUAGGCCACUUUGUUAAAGAGUUUCACCAUCACAUCCGAAAGCUUAAACUGUUAGAAAAAGCAUACAUUUAGUUUAAUUAAUUAUAUCUUCAAUACGCAAUAUCCCCACACAUGCGGAUCUGGUUCGUUUCUUUUUCUUUUUUUUUUGAGAAGGUAACGAUGCGUGUCUGGUUCUUUCUUAUGGACCAAACAUGUGGAAAUUCCUUUUAAUAAUGGGUGACGGUGAGACUCAAACUUAGGACCUCUACCUGCUCUGAUAGCGAGAACACUACACUUGAUUAUAUCUUCAGUACACAUAACAGAAAGGGUACAUUUAUAGAUUUUCGAUUUAAAAAGCUGAACCUCAAGUUGAUGAACCAGAAAAACUGACAUUCAACUUGGGGGUUAGUAGAUUUCAUGAUUGCCAAUUUUACUCUUGAUCUCAAAAUCACCGUUAUACUAUAUAGUUUAUAUUGAUAUAUACCUUAAGAAGUCCGUUUAGAGUUUUGAUCGUAACUCCGCUAAGUCGUGGGACUCUUCACUUUUGAUGCCUCACCUGUAUCGGUUUCUCAAAAAGUACACUACUUUUGGCAAAUCCAACACACACUCGUUGACAUUUUUGAAAAGUCCGUGCAACAUAGUAACUCCCUUCUCGUUUUGUUCGUGACUUUUUCUUUUUCACAUAAUUUUGGAAAGUGGGUAAUUUGUAUUCCUCAGCAUUAAGGGGUAUGCUGGAUACCUCAAAAAGUAAUCAACAGUAACUGUGGACCCAAAAACUAAUACGGAGAUCCUAAAUAGUCUACCAAACGGAUCUGCAUCCUCUACAUUUGCUUCUUUACAUCAGAAAUGAAAAUUUGCAUUAUAUUUCCACUUAAUUUUCUGCAUAUUGAAUCUGUCCUCAAAACACAUUCCAUUCCUUUCCUUCCACACUGUCCUCCAAAUGCAUGAAGGAAUUGCUCUCCGCCAUCUCUUUUGAGAUUUGCUGCCCCACUUCUUUAAGAACAGCAGAGAGUUUUGUAGGCUUAUCUAUGUUUAGCCUUCCACAUAAUCUAUUAGUAACUUGUUGGCAGGUGGCUUCAGCAGAAGCUGAUAUGCAAUCUAAAUCUGGAGUCAUGGAAACCACCGUAUAUCAACAGAUAGCAUAUUCCAAGCCUUCUACUGUCGCUCAGAUUCAAGCAAAGGAAGCUGAUGUACAAGCUCUUGCAGAGUUGACCCGUGCACUAGACAAAAAGGUUACAAAACUAAUCUAGUUUUUAGUUCAUUUGAUCCAUGAAUGAAAAUUAUACAAAUGAAAGCUAGCUCUCUUUCUCCCUCUGCAUAUGCUUGUGUCUUGUCUGCUUAUGCAAUUAUUGUAGACAAUAAAACGUCUGCUCUCCAACUUAACUUAUAAAUGAGGUGGUCCCACAAUUCAACAUUGUGUCAUGGUGAUACAAAUCCUAAUUUCUAGUCUUACUUCACGUGCUUGAAUCAGGUAAACGAAUUAGGCGUGCAUGUGAUGGAUCAUAUUGCAAACCUAUACUAAAUAAAUAUGUUCCCUUUUUAACAAUUUAAACCUAGUUAGAUGAGAUGGUCACAAAAUUCAGCAGAAUCUUUUUUUUUUCAACCAAAUAAAAAACCUUUUUGAAUAAAACUAGCAGGCAUUUAUGUCCAAAUUACUGAUAGGGAGAAAUAUAUUCUUUACUUUUUUUCCUGAAGUUGAAGAGUUUAUUUGUGUAAAAAGAAGAAAUUGUCGAAGGGGUAAGCUUUCAUGAACUAGCAGGUUAAAGUUCUAUUUUCUUUUUGAAGGCGAAGGCUGAAGAAGCUUUCUAGAACUUAGUCUAAGUAUAGUUAUAUGCACAUCUAUAAAUCGUUUCUCUGACUGUGGAGGUAUUGGUUGAGCAUGUAUUUGUUGUUGAGAAAAAACUGUGUUUACUGUUCUGUUUGUAGCGGAGAAUAUUUAAGGUAGAUGGAGCUACUCUGAGCAGAUGCUGCUACCAAAUUGAUGAAUGGUUUCUUCUAUUUUAGAGUUGGACUGCUUCUUGUCUUUCAUUUUUAGUUUUGGCUGUUCUUGUAUUUCAAUGUAUGUGUUUCAGGAUUUGUGUCAAUAGAUGUAUUUCUCUAGUUGAUGUUAAAUAUACAAAAGGCAUGAAUAUCUUAUGCCAGAUGUGCAGUGAGCUCAUGUCAUUAGGUUGAACGUGUAGGAUGCAGUGGUUUUGGAGUUGAGUCUCAUGAAUGAUGAUGUUUUGGAAAACCAAAAGAGUGAUGACUGUUCUCUCAAGGACUCGGAGCCUUUCAAGAAGCAAUAUGCUGCCGUGCUAAUACAGUUAAAUGAAGUCAAUGAGCAGGUAUGUUUAUCCUCAAUAUAAGAAUCUAAAUUUCUAAUGUGCUCAAAGUUUGCUAUAACAUUCAUAUGCUUUGGCAGGUUUCUUCUGCUUUAUAUCGUUUGAGACAGCGGAAUACCUAUCAUGGAAGCAUUCCACUUGCAUGGCAAAGGCCAGUUCCAAAUUUUGCUGAUCCCAGUAUUUUGAGCACUUUUGAUCGUUGUACGAGUCAACCGCAGGAAUCAGGGUUCCUUGUCAACGAGAUAAUAGAAAGCUCAAAAAUCAAAUCUUGGACUAUGGUUGAUGCAGCGGUGCAGGUAGACAUUCAACUGUUAUUUCUCUUGGGAAUCUUGGUGGUGUGACCCAAAUCGGUUUUAAGAUUCCAUGUUUGAAUUUUUUCUUUUUAAAAGAGGGUUAUGAUUAACCAUAGCAUGUUAGUAUUUAUUAGCUUCUUCAGAAACCUCCUUUGCAUGGUUGCCAGGUUGAUUCAUUCCCUAAUUUACCUCAGCGGACUGGGAAUUUUGAAAUGCAUUUCUUGAAAAGAUGCAGUAAUAUUAUGUAAUUUUGCAUAAAGGUGGUUACAAUUUCAUCUUGGUUAAUAACUGGAUCAAAUAUUUUGAGAAUACGUCAGGAUCAAAGUUAAUGGGAGAAAAAUUGGACUUUCAGUGACUAUUUGAAAAAAAUUGAAAUUUAGUUCAUUUAAACCUUUUACUAUUUUUUAACCAGGUUUAAUAUUAUCAGACAUCAUGUGAUCUGCUUGGACUUGAUUUUAUCAGUUUAAUGCCUCCAGAGUUUUGCAUCACUUAAAAGCUUAUGUUUAUGCAUUUUGUCCUAAUUCUUAUUGAUGUUAUCAUGUUUGUGAUCUCAUCAUUAUCGUCUGCAUGUUGCUGUAUAUUGUUUUAGGACUGAUUAACUUUCCUGUGUAGGCGAUGCUUUCAUAUACUGGUAGAGACAACACCACCGAGAAGAUUGAGGAGGCUAUUGAUUAUGUGAAUGAUCGGAUUCCACUAGAUGAUUCUUGCAUGCCAAUUGUGAGAUUUUUUACCAUUGCUUAAUGGUUAUUUUGCUUCUCUAUAUCAAUUGAUUUUUAUUGCAUUGAUCUAUUGCAGCCACCUGAUCUUAAGUCAAAGAAUGUGUCAGAUAGAAGAAAUGAAGCAGAAAUUCCUUCGGAACUUAUCACCAAAUGCGUUGCUACUUUGCUUAUGAUUCAGGUAAAUAUAUUGGUUACCCCGGUUCUUUUCCUGUAUUCUGUUGGCAAGUUCUUUUGUUCCUUAAUUCAAGCAGAUUUUCCAAGUUUUUUUUGUUUCUUUGGACUAGCUUUUGUGACAAUAUUAUUGCUUUAGAAUGUUUGGCAUGGAAAUUACGUUUGCUUAGGUAACAUACCAUGUCCUUCGCGACCUUAGAUUCUGUAUUGGUUGCCUCUUGUUUGCACGGACAUUAAAUGUUCCAUAACCUCCAGAAGAUGCUUCUUGUCUUGAUAUCUGGAUUACAGAAUUAUCUUUAUCAAGCGAAGACAGCAGCGUAUUGUGAUUUUUGAUAACUGAUAAAUAAAGGGACAAGUAGAGGACUCAAGCAGAUUGACUGAAGGAGCAAUUCCUCUUUCCUCACCAAGUUUAAUGCCAUCUAAGAUUGCUAGAUAGCCCUGGAGGAGGAGGAUAUACCCUAUUUAAUUUUAAUGUAAAAGGGAGCAAAAAAGAUGAUCUAUAGUCUCCAUUGUGUGUUACAUUAUCAUGAUCGCCAGUAUAGAAAACAUUGUUGUGACCUCCAUCUUCAUAUGUCCGAAUACCUUGGAUAUGAGUUUAAACUACAUGUUUCUUGCUACUCAACUCCAAAAGGUAAAAAAUGACCUAGUGUUUUAUGGCAGCGCAUGAUAUUCUCUAAAAGCACUUCACUUUUGCUUAUUCGGUUCACAUAUCUGGUCACCCAUACAGUUGUCAUUAUUGUCCAUAUUUAUGCUUGACACAACUUGAUUAUCUGUUGUACAUGGUUGCAGAAAUGUACAGAACGACAGUUUCCACCAGCUGAUAUGGCAAAAGUACUGGAUUCUGCUGUAGCAAGUUUACAACCCUGUUGCUCACAAAACUUUCCAGUCUAUGCUGAAAUACAGAAGUGCAUGGGAAUCAUCAGAAACCAAAUUAUGGCAUUAAUACCGACGUAGGCCAUGUAUUAUCAACACUUAAUUUGCUCUUGUAAAUUCACUAUGUAGAUAACUAACCUUAUUCAUGGUGAAGCUCUCAGAUUAAUGCAGACUUAAUUUACUCUCUCUCUUCUUCUCAUUGUUCGUAAGUUCUGCAUACACCUGGCCCCCCCGACCCCCGCUCCCUCAUAAUGUUGUUACUCUUCGCAUGAUCUAUUUCCUCUAUAAUAACUAGUCCCAUAGUGGUGAGGCUGAACCAGUAGCUGCAACUACUAAUUGGAUUGUAAGUUCAAAGAGCCAUGGAAUUACAGUUUUUAAAAAAAGAGCCAUGGAAAUGAUGAAAAUUUUAGAUUAAAUCUUAAAUUUAAGCAUAUUUUGUGUAUCAAAUUCUGUUUUACAUCCUUCAUUUCCAUGAUAGUUUGUCCGAUCCCAAAACUGAUCUAUUUUUAUAUGGGUUUCCGAAAAUAAUUUGCACUCGUGACAUAACACUGAGAGUAAUCCCCCUAGUAGAAUUCCAAGAGGUUCAUGCAAUUUGAGCUGAAGUUUCUUGCAAGAGGAAAAAGUCUUCCGUAUAUUUAUUUUAAAAGAGCAAAAAAUAUUUAUUUUAAAAGAGCAAAAAAUAUUUCUCUACUUUGAUAAAUUGAUUAAGUUUGCCUCUCGUAUACUAUGAGAUCAAAUAUAUCUCUGUCGCUAGCAAAGUUAUUAAAAAUACUCCCUUUUUAACACCUCUCCACCAUGGCAAGGUGAGAGCCAUGUGGCAUGAUAUUUGGAUGAGGUGGAUGGCACGUGACAUGCUCAGAUUUUCUUUUUUCUUUUAAUUUCUUUACUUCAAAUUUUAUUAAUCAUUUAUUUUGUGAAAAAAGAAACUUACAAUAUUAAAAAAAAAAUUAAUGAAUAUCAAUGUUUUUCGCCCACCAGUGUCACGUCACACCACCACCAGUCCACCACAAACCAUCACCUUCAUUUUUACAGCCAAGAAGCUCAUGGUUCGGACGAGCUUGAAGCUCGUCAUUAAUGGCGUUGGCGCCGAUGGAGGGGAGACAUUAACGGCGGCGGCGGAGGAAGUUGUUCUUUGUUGUAGUAAGACACCAAUGUAUCAAGCAGUAAACAACCAUUUACUUAUUUGCAGAUACCAUCUUUUUCCUCAAUCAACAAUCGAUUUUUCAAUUAUCAAUUAACAAAUUAAUUUAUCAAUUGUUAAUCAAUUCCAGUCAAAAAAGUCUCCAUUGGACUGGUGGUGGUGUGAUGUGACACCGGUGGCUAAAAAUGUUUUUCAUUAAUUUUUUUAAUAUUAUAAAUUUUCUGUUUUACAAAAUAAAUGAUUAAUAACAUUUGAAGUAAAAAAUUAAAAGGAAAAAAAUUUGCUGCUGAAGUGGCAUGUCAUGUGACAUCCACCUCAUCCAAAUAGCAUGCUAUAUAUUUUUGAUAACUUUGCUAAUGAUAGGGAUAUAUUUGAUUUCAUAGUAUAACGAGGACAAACUUAGUCAAUUUAUAAAACGAGGACAAACUUAGUCAAUUUAUAAAAAUAAAGGAGUAUUUUUGAUUUUUUUCCUUAUUUUAAUGGUUUUCUUCCUUCCACUAAUAACACGUUUGCCAAAGAAAAAUCCCAACCAAAUUCUCUCAAAGACAAUAAAAAUGCAAAAAAUUUGUCAAUCCCAAUACAGAAUUUCCAUCAAACACACAAUUGUUCUUGGAUUCUUCUCAUAAAGAUAAAAAAAUCUCAAUCUCAGCUCCCCAAAGUCUUUAAACCAAAUCAACUGGCCACUUAUUUGGCGUUUCUUUCAAGGCACUUCACUCAGUAACUAGUGAGGAACAUAAACCCUAUAAGCACACGUGGAAAUGUGUCUUUACGUAAAGUGUCCUAUCAUUUUAACUGUAGAUAAUUAUAGAGGUUUUUUCAUGGCUUACACUACGACAGGAGCACUCCCUAAUGAAAUUUGACUCAUUGUUUUUCUUCUUAUAAAAAAGGACAAAAAUUGACAUAAGUAGCGGUUUAUGAAAAUAAUAGCCAAGAAAUAUAUUCCCUCCCUCAAUUUUUUUUCUCCGCCUCAAAACAGUGGUGGAGCCACAGCCAACGAAGGGUGGUCAGAUAAAUAUUUUUUAUCUAUUUAUGAUUAUAUACAUAUUGUUGCACAUCCUUAACAAGCUAAAGAAGCAUAAUUCAGUGGUCAAGAGUGUGCAUUUUCGCAUCAACAACCCGAUUUUGAACCUUGGCAGGUGCAGCAAUGCUUUAUUUUCUUUAUUUUUUAACCAGUUCUUUGCCCAAGAGAAAAUAUGAACAUCCUUAACCAAAAGUCUGGCUCCGGCACUACCUCAAAAAGAAUG